GUCCCUGUCGAUUAGUGGUUAAAUCAUCUCGUUGUGGCACAGUGCAUAACCGAGAAGCCGGAAGUUCGAAUCCUCCUUGGGACA
rnacentral:tRNA from 1 species